rnacentral:rRNA from 1 species
AGAGUUUGAUCAUGGCUCAGGAUUAACGCUGGCGGCGUGCCUAACACAUGCAAGUCGAACGAGGUAGCAAUACCUAGUGGCAGACGGGUGAGUAACACGUGGUCAACCUUCCCUACAGUGGGGGAUAACUAGCCGAAAGGUUAGCUAAUACCGCAUAACAUCUACGAGUGGCAUCACAUGUAGAUCAAAGGAGCAAUCCGCUGAAGGAUGGGACCGCGCCCGAUUAGUUAGUUGGUGGGGUAAUGGCCUACCAAGACUCCGAUCGGUAGCUGGUUUGAGAGAGCGACCAGCCACACUGGGACUGAGAAACGGCCCAGACUCCUACGGGAGGCAGCAGUGAGGAAUUUUCCGCAAUGGGCGAAAGCCUGACGGAGCGACGCCGCGUGUGGGAAGAAGGCCUUCGGGUCGUAAACCACUGUCGAAGGGGAAGAUAAUGACGGUACCCUUGGAGGAAGCCCCGGCUAACUACGUGCCAGCAGCCGCGGUAAUAC